rnacentral:lncRNA from 1 species
CUGUGAGACUAGCUACCGGAACAGAGGAUGGAAUGACCGAGACCAAUAAAGGUGAGAGGAACUAUAGUUUAAAACACACUUAUGAUUCAAUGGCAGGAUAGAGUUACUAAGUGGCCAUGUUUGACUCCCAAGCUGUUACUGGGUUUGAUUCCCACUGCCUUCAUCCUACAUUUAGUAUUCAAUAUAAAUUUGUUUGAUAGUAUUGAUUAAUUAUUUAGGACUUAUUAUAAUUAUUCCAAACCAACGUAAUCAGAGUGGCUAUAUUUAGUUUAAAAGUUUCCUUCUAAUCGUAUCGUUACGUCCGCCUACUUUCAAGCAGGCACGCACGCGCGCGCGCACACACACACACACACACACACACACACACACGCACACUGAUAGAGCUUUCGUUUUUUCAGACAGUCUCGAUGUGCAGAUCCUAGGCCCAGGCUACGUGACAGUCGGCGUGCCUUCCAGCUUCGAGUGCGAAGCCAACUGCAACUCCAAGCCGUGCCAAUACUUGUCCAUGUCCAUGGACAAACAGGCAUCUGUUGGCCAUGGCAACGUACUUGCCUUCACGCUUUCCCAGUGGGUAGAGGCGCUGUCCCUGACUUGCACUGCCAAUGAUGAACAGACGGGGGCAACAAAGACUGUGACAAAGAAACUGCAGGCGUUAGCUGGACCGUCAAACGUCUCGAUCUCAGGGCCUGACUUGAUGACCCCCCUGGCUAGCCACGGCUACACUUGUCAUUCCUACUGCCGGCCUUCGUGCGAAUACACCUGGCGGGUUGACGACGGCCCCUGGGUGGCCGGCCAGGGGAACGUCAUCGGCGUCAUUCCCCAGCACCUCGACACGGCUAAAACCCUCAUGUGCAGAGCCACCAACACGGUGUCCGGCCUCUUUGCGGCCAAGAUCCAAGACAUCGCCGUAUCAUCCGGUCCCUCGGAUGUUCAUAUCCAGGGCCCGAGCUCCAUGCAGCUCGCCGUCCGGACCAGAUUCGUCUGCCUGGCUGACUGCAUGCCAGCGUGCCGCUACAUCUGGACGCUCGGCGAUCUCACGGUGAGAGGAAGCGCCAUUGAUGUCACGGUCGUUCAGCCACGGAAGACCGUUUCCCUGAAAUGCGAGGCGCAGAACACAGUGACCAGGAAGUCCGACACGGUGUUGCUAACCGUUUUUCUCGGAGAUCACUCGAUGGCCACUCGUGCUGAGGAGAGGUCAGCUCUGCUCCUAUGCGGCCUCAUCGUCUCGGCUGGGAUUCUCAUUUGAUCCACACGAGGGAGACAUUUUAUAGGAUGUAAAGACUAUUUUUUUUUAAGUACUUUUAAAGCUUUCUACUACAAGUGCACUCAUAAAGUAAUUAUAAAUAGGCUUUCUACCAAGUCAUUAAGAUGUCGUAUGUGAAACACAUUACAUUUAGUUAAAAUAGAAAAUUCAUGACAGCCUUUUUCAUUAAUUACUAGGCCAAUAGGAUGAUAUAAAUAGCCUGAUCAAAAUACUUAAAUUACUAAUGUUUCACUAUCUAUAUGUAUCAUGUUUUAAUAAAAACAAUAAUAUAGAGCUUGUUUAAAAAUAUAGAGGUGAUUAUAAAAUGAUAUACAAUUCUAUUUCAAACAUUAUGCAAUGAUGUUUUUAUUUUACCUAAGCUAAACUCGUGCUGAAAUAUAAUUUAUUUGUAUGUGAAUACGUUUUUUCCUCAUUAUUGCAGUCAUUGCUUGCUGCUCAUCAUGUUUCAAGUUAAAGCACUUAAUAACCAAUAAUAACCACAAACAAUACCUAACAAACAACACUUAAAACUCUUUGUUGAACACUUGUAUGAGCCUUGUGAUGAGUAUUGUUGAGGAACACACUUUCUUGGUGGGAUGCUAUAUAUGCUACAUAUAAAUUAUGUAUCCCCUCAGUUGCAGACAAUUUGGAUGAUUGUACUGUUGAAAUCAUUAAAUUGCAUUACGUGUAUGAUUCAAUACCUUUCAUGUGUUUGGAACAUCAUACUGGAACAUCAUCAUUUCAAUAAUAAAUAUAGAAAUUGAUUUGCAAAAAGUGGUUUGGAGUGACAUCUUUUCUUUGCAUUUGUCUUGCAUAAUUUUGGAUAUAUAUUAACAGACGUUAAAGUUCUGACAGGUAAUUGUCACAUUCUAUAAGGAAAAUCCC